GUUAAGAUGGCAGAGACCGGUUAUUGCAUAAGACUUAAGUCCUUACAACCAGAGGUUCAAUUCCUCUUCUUAACA
rnacentral:tRNA from 1 species